rnacentral:rRNA from 1 species
GAUGAACGCUGGCGGCGUGCUUAACACAUGCAAGUCGAACGGUGAAGGCGGAGCUUGCUCUGCUGGAUCAUUGGCGAACGGGUGAGUAACACGUGAGCAAUCUGCCCCUGACUCUGGGAUAAGCGCUGGAAACGGCGUCUCAUACUGGAUACGAUCUGCGAAGCCAUCUUCAGCAGAUGGAAAGAACUUCGGUCAGGGAUGGGCUCGCGGGCUAUCAGCUUGUUGGUGAGGUAACGGCUCACCAAGGCUUCGACGGGUAGCCGGCCUGGGAGGGGGACCGGCCACCCUGGGACUGAGACACGGACCAGACUCCUACGGUAGGCAGCAGUCGGGAACAUUGCACAAUGGGCGAAAGCCUGAGGCAGCAACGCCGCGUGAGGGACGACGGCCUUCGGGUUGUAAACAUCUUUUAGCAGGGAAGAAGCGAAAGUGACGGUACCUGCAGAAAAAGCGCCGGCUAACUACGUG